AAGUGGUUGUGCCACUGAGACUACUUUGGUCCCUUCCCACUAGUAAAUGAAGACGUUCUAGUGGUCACAUCGAACUACCAACUUGGUGUAUAUGGUUUCCUGUCCACUCAAGAUGACGCUGUUUUGGAUAACGCGACUUUCAAGGAUCAACUGCUCGCCAUGAAAUGGACGCAGAAAAACAUGGAAUAUUUAGGUGGGGAUCCGGAAAAGGUGACCAUUUUCGGCCGGAGGAAUGUCUGUCGGGGCAUAUCUCGAAAACAAAAAAUCGGCUGGGUUGUACAGAGCGGCAAUUUGCCAAAGCGGCUGCCCUUUGUCUCAUUUUAUCAUGACCACUCAACCGGAUCCCAGAAAGGGUGCUUACGAUAUUGCUAAAGCCAUAGAUCCGUCCAUUACUGACCAGAAUACCACCUACGAGAUACAAGACUUUCUCCAUAGUCAAUUAACAGAUGUGAUCAAUAAAGCAUUUACCUCUAAUCCAUGGUGCCGCAGUUGGUUCAUGCUGUAGCUAUUUUUUACGACUUGGAUAACGUCGCAUUAUUACCUUCGAACCUUACACCUCAGCUAGGGGCAAACGUGCAGGAAAUUGCGAACAAAAUCAAACUAGCUUACACAGGCGGUGACUCAUUUCUCUUCGAUCUCGAAACAGUUGUUGAGUACACCAGCGAUAACUUGAUCCUAAGGUCAUCUUCCAAGCAAGGCCAACUUCAAUCACACUGGUCUUUUUUUAUCAAUUUUCAUUUUCGGGUCUGCUGCACUUUCUCAUGACGCAAUAGCUUGAUAAUUAAUAUUGAGCGUCUACAUGGUAGGCAUUGGCAGUGUAAUACAAGCAGAAGAUGUAGUCCACCUCGUUAACUCGACGUUGCCCCUGAGCACAGCUGAACUAUUCCAAAUCAGGAACAGAUUAGUGCGACUUUGGCCAACUUCGCGAAGACACUGGAUACUACUCCUGAUGAAUCGGAUCCGCUGAUCAACUUAAAGUGGUCCCAAGUAUCGGGAUCCUUUAUUCCGUACCUGGCAAGAAGGUUAUUGAAAUGGCGGUUUGGAACGACGUCUACUACAAUUAUGGAGAGCAGCC